UUGCUGAAUACACGACCGGCGCACGGGUGAGUAACACGUAUGCAACCUACCUCUAACUGGAGGAUAGCCCGAAGAAAUUCGGAUUAAUAUUCCAUAAAGUCAAUUUAAGGCAUCUUUUAUUGAUUAAAGCUCCGGCGGUUAGAGAUGGGCAUGCGUGUCAUUAGCUAGUUGGUGAGGUAACGGCUCACCAAUGCCACGAUGACUAGGGGGUCUGAGAGGAUGAUCCCCCACACUGGUACUGAGACACGGACCAGACUCCUACGGGAGGCAGCAGUGAGGAAUAUUGGGCAAUGGACGCAAGUCUGACCCAGCCAUGCCGCGUGCAGGAUGACUGCCCUAUGGGUUGUAAACUGCUUUUGUUUGGGAAGAAACCCCCGAUCGUGAUCGGGGCUGACGGUACCAUACGAAUAAGCAUCGGCUAACUCCGUGCCAGCAGCCGCGGUAAUACGGAGGAUGCAAGCGUUAUCCGGAUUCAUUGGGUUUAAAGGGUGCGCAGGCGGAAUAUUAAGUCAGUGGUGAAAUCCUGCAGCUUAACUGUAGAACUGCCAUUGAUACUGAUAUUCUUGAAUAUAGUUGAGGUAGGCGGAAUGUGUAAUGUAGCGGUGAAAUGCUUAGAUAUUACACCAGAACACCAAUUGCGAAGGCAGCUCACUAAACUAAUAUUGACGCUGAGGCACGAAAGCGUGGGUAGCAAACAGGAUUAGAUACCCUGGUAGUCCACGCUGUAAACUAUGAUCACUCGCUGUUGGCAAUAACAUCGUCAGCGGCUGAGCGAAAGCAUUAAGUGAUCCACCUGGGGAGUACGUUCGCAAGAUUGAAACUCAAAGGAAUUGACGGGGGCCCGCACAAGCGGGAGGAACAUGUGGUUUAAUUCGAUGAUACGCGAGGAACCUUACCUGGGCUUAAAUGCAGAGCGACGUCCGCCGAAAGGUGGAUUCCUUCGGGCGAUCUGCAAGGUGCUGCAUGGUUGUCGUCAGCUCGUGCCGUGAGGUGUCGGGUUAAGUCCCAUAACGAGCGCAACCCUUAUCGUUAGUUGCCAGCGGGUAAUGCCGGGGACUCUAACGAAACUGCCGGUGUAAACCGUGAGGAAGGUGGGGAUGACGUC
rnacentral:rRNA from 1 species